UGGGGUAUCGCCAAGCGGUAAGGCAUCAGCUUUUGGUGCUGACAUUCGGGGGUUCGAAUCCCUCUACCCCAUCCA
rnacentral:tRNA from 1 species